UCAAACUAUCUACCUGUAUUAUACCUGUUAUAAGUAUAACCACAACUAUCACAGGUGGAUCUGUGUAUAAGGAAAACUAAAAAGGAAAAAUAAAGAUGGGCGUCAAAGUUCAUGUAGAGUACUGUAGCGGGUGAGGUUACGCAGGCAAGUAUGAGGCGCUUCGUGGGCGCAUCCUUGCCGAGGUACCUGGUGCUGACGUCGUAGGGUCAAAGGGUCGCAGAACUGCAUUUGAAAUUACGAUCAAUGAUAAAGAGGUUUUUUCUAAACUGAAGUUGAAAGGUUGGCCAAUCGAAGAGGAUCUGAUUGAGGUUAUACGGCAAGCUGAUCGUGGCAUGGAACCAAAAGAAUUAUCAACUUGCAGGAAAGCUAGUUGUGUCAUUUGUUAAACCGGGUGUGAUUAAAAAGACGGAUAUCAAAAUAUUUGUAAAAUGUUAAACAAAAAUUUUACUCGCAUUUGCCAUUUAUGUAGCUCAUUGAAGAAAUAAGAUGAAAAAAACCAAACACUUCAACAACCGAAAUAAAAAAAGUGGAACUCUUAAUAAAAAAAAACAACAACAGAAAAUUUAAUAUUUAAUCGUUUUAUACUAAACUGAAACUUUACGAUACAAGGCAAUAAUUGUGUUUAAAAUAAAUUAGUUGAAGGCUAUGGGGAAAUAAAUUAUUUUGAUAAGUGAUAAAGUAGUAUUUUAAAAUGAAGCAGACAAAAAUAGGAAAAAAAUAAAAUAUCAAUUUAUCCGUGAAUAUCUUUUAUUUACCUUAAAAAUUUAAAAAUAUUCAGUUACUUAUAGUAGAGAAAUAAGUUGGUGAUAAAUUAAAGUAAACAACCACCACAUUAAACAAAACUAGAAUUAGUUCAAAAUCUGAGCAAGACGAAAAUAAUCGUCAUUAAAGCUGAAAGUAAAAUUAAUGAAAUGUUCAUUAAAAAGUCGAGUACACCGUUCAUAUUUUUGAUUUUUUGAAGCUAUCAUUUUAUCAAUAAAUGAAAACAGUGGUAAAAAGCGAUGAGGCCACAGUUUGAUGUAGACUUGAAGGAUGAUAGGUUUCUUAAUCAAUCACAAAUAAGAUGAUCGUUCUGUAUUGGGACUCAAAAUUAUUAAAGACAUUAAAAUUGAAA